rnacentral:rRNA from 1 species
GGAAUAUUCCACAAUGGGCGAAAGCCUGACCGAGCACCGCCGCGUGAGUGAGAAGGUCUUCGGAUUGUAAAGCUCUGUUACGAGGGACGAACGGUGGGGUCAGGAAAUGGGCCCCAAUUGACGGUACCUCGCCCGAAAGUGACGGCUAACUACGUGCCAGCAGCCGCGGUAAUACGUAGGUGGCAAGCGUUAUCCGGAUUUAUUGGGCGUAAAGCGAGCGCAGGCGGUUUCUUAAGUCUGAUGUGAAAGCCUUCGGCUUAACCGAAGAAGUGCAUCGGAAACUGGGAAACUUGAGUGCAGAAGAGGACAGUGGAACUCCAUGUGUAGCGGUGAAAUGCGUAGAUAUAUGGAAGAACACCAGUGGCGAAGGCGGCUGUCUGGUCUGUAACUGACGCUGAGGCUCGAAAGCAUGGGUAGCGAACA